UUUUGUGGGGUGCUCGAGUGGCGAACGGGUGAGUAACACGUGAGUAACCUGCCCUUGACUUUGGGAUAACUUCAGGAAACUGGGGCUAAUACCGGGUAGGAGCUCCUGCUGCAUGGUGGGGGUUGGAAAGUUUCGGCGGUUGGGGAUGGACUCGCGGCUUAUCAGCUCGUUGGUGGGGUAGUGGCUUACCAAGGCUUUGACGGGUAGCCGGCCUGAGAGGGUGACCGGCCACAUUGGGACUGAGAUACGGCCCAG
rnacentral:rRNA from 1 species